AUGAAGAACGUAGCGAAAUGCGAUAAGUAAUGUGAAUUGCAGAAUUCAGUGAAUCAUCGAAUCUUUGAACGCACAUUGCGCCCAUUAGCAUUCUAGUGGGCAUGCCUGUUCGAGCGUCAUUUCAACCCUUAAGCCCUGUUGCUUAGCGUUGGGAGCCUACAGUACUGUAGCUCCCCAAAGUUAGUGGCGGAGUCGGUUUCACACUCUAGACGUAGUAAUUUUUUCUCGUCUGUAGUUGAGCCGGUCCCCUGCCGUAAAACACCCAAUUUAUCAAGGUUGACCUCGGAUCAGGUAGGAAUACCCGCUGAACUUAAGCAUAUCAAUAAGCGGAGGA
rnacentral:misc_RNA from 1 species